CUAUCUUGAAGUUCAUCCUCUGAUCAGGGAUGCCCAGAGCUAAAAGAUAGUAGUAACAAUUUAAUAGAAAGUCAACCCACUGGGACGGUUGGCCAUUUAAGAAGUGAGGAUUCAUUUUUUAUGGCCAAUACAAGUGAAGAUAGGAAGUUCCGUGUGGAUUCUCA
rfam:Lachnospiraceae bacterium TWA4 TWA4_scaffold00001, whole genome shotgun sequence.